rnacentral:rRNA from 1 species
GGUCCCAAGCAGAUGCGCUCUUACUCAAACCUUUCUAAGAGUAGAAUAGGUCGGUCGAUGAUGCGCCUCGCACGCGUAGAACGAAGAUCUCACCUCAGCUGCUAGGCAGCCUUUACUUUCAUUGUGCCUUCGGGUUUCAGUCACCCCAAGACUUGCGCACAUGUUAGACUCCUUGGUCCGUGUUUCAAGACGGGUCAGAUGAAGCCAUAUGGCCGCCAACAACCGAGGUGCAUAGUGUGCGUUGGCCUCCCGAAUGACCUCGAGCAGUUCAGACGCACUGCAAGCAGUCCGCCAUGGUCGACACAAGAUCAAGAGAAGGUCGCCAGCCCCUCCGAAGAAGAGCAUGCACCGCUCGCCUCUGCCCCGUCCGAGCUAGUAUCGCCACAGGCUAUAACAGCACAUGCCGAAGCACGCGCCUACCUUCCUGGACGCCUUGUCACUCAGACAGAGCAGCUGUUGACGCGCCCCAACGAGAAGUGCGAUGAUCACAAGGUCAGGCCGAACAGCGACAGUCCAUGCGGAUCCAUACACUACACGUCUGACCAGGCGUCCACCUGAAUCUCGCUGAGGCAUUGCUAACUGCAUCCGUUUCCCCUCUAACGGUUUCACGCACUUUUUAACUCUCUUUUCAAAGUUCUUUUCAACUUUCCA